rnacentral:rRNA from 1 species
GAUGAACGCUGGCGGCAGGCCUAACACAUGCAAGUCGAACGGUAACAGGAAGCAGCUUGCUGCUUCGCUGACGAGUGGCGGACGGGUGAGUAAUGUCUGGGAAACUGCCUGAUGGAGGGGGAUAACUACUGGAAACGGUAGCUAAUACCGCAUAACGACGCAAGACCAAAGAGGGGGACCUUCGGGCCUCUUGCCAUCGGAUGUGCCCAGAUGGGAUUAGCUAGUAGGUGGGGUAACGGCUCACCUAGGCGACGAUCCCUAGCCGGUCUGAGAGGAUGACCAGCCACACUGGAACUGAGACACGGUCCAGACUCCUACGGGAGGCAGCAGUGGGGAAUAUUGCACAAUGGGCGCAAGCCUGAUGCAGCCAUGCCGCGUGUAUGAAGAAGGCCUUCGGGUUGUAAAGUACUUUCAGCGGGGAGGAAGGGAGUAAAGUUAAUACCUUUGCUCAUUGACGUUACCCGCAGAAGAAGCACCGGCUAACUCCGUGCCAGCAGCCGCGGUAA